GUGGAGCAGAGCUACACUCAAUGCUGAACGAAGCUUCAAUACCGAUAAAUAUCGAUAACUGUUGCAUCACAUUCAUAACCAUACUUCGAAGAUCAUAGCUAGCGCCAUUCGUCUUGAUUCAAACACCUCUUAGCUGUGCAGCCAGUGACCAUUCGACACACACUACUCAUACAGGGUAUCUUAUAGUCGCAACCGC